rnacentral:rRNA from 1 species
CCUACGGGGGGCAGCAGUAGGGAGUCUUCGGCAAUGGACGAAAGUCUGACCGAGCAACGCCGCGUGAGUGAAGAAGGUUUUCGGAUCGUAAAACUCUGUUGUUAGAGAAGAAUAAGGAUGAGAGUAACUGUUCAUCCCUUGACGGUAUCUAACCAGAAAGCCACGGCUAACUACGUGCCAGCAGCCGCGGUAAUACGUAGGUGGCAAGCGUUGUCCGGAUUUAUUGGGCGUAAAGCGAGCGCAGGCGGUUUCUUAAGUCUGAUGUGAAAGCCCCCGGCUCAACCGGGGAGGGUCAUUGGAAACUGGGAGACUUGAGUGCAGAAGAGGAGAGUGGAAUUCCAUGUGUAGCGGUGAAAUGCGUAGAUAUAUGGAGGAACACCAGUGGCGAAGGCGGCUCUCUGGUCUGCAACUGACGCUGAGGCUCGAAAGCGUGGGGAGCAAACAGGAUUAGAUACCCCAGUAGUC